rnacentral:tRNA from 1 species
UCCUUGUUAGCUCAGAUGGUAAAGCGUCUGCCUGCAAUGCGGGAGACCUGGGUUCAAUCCCUAGAUCGAGAA